AUGUCGCUGGGAAAUGACGGUAUCUGAAUGGUCGCCACCAACUUCACAGCUGAAAACGCUUAGCCUUCUUUGAAAAUCAUAUAGGCUUGUCAUAGAUGUUUCAAGUAGUGGUGGGCGUUCGGAUACCCGUUCGGGUUCGGGUCGGGUAUUUUGAAUGUUCGGAUAUUUCGAUAUAGAAGCAUAAAACCCAUUUGAGCAUUUCUACACUUCGGGUCGAGUUCGGGUAUUUUUAGUUCGGAUUCGGGUAUUUCGGAUAUAACCGAA
rnacentral:lncRNA from 1 species